rnacentral:lncRNA from 1 species
AAGGAAGCCAGCUGGUUGCAUCUAGAUUAUGUAUGGAUCCAGAAAUGUUUGUUAUGCCCGAGGAUGGAGUUCAAGUGCAAGAGUGUAGGCCUAGAUGCAUGAGACCCUGGAUUCCGACUCCAUCCCUGCAGAAGCUUGGUUGGGUGACAUAAACAUUGUCACCUCAGUACACAAAGAGCAAGACCAGUCUUGGCUACAAGAAAUCCUGUCUCAAAAAGAAUAUUAUUCUGAUCAAGAAUCUACAGUUUCAGAAAGAUUUCCUAAGAGAUCAAUAUUAUAGUGUGGAUGAGAAAUGGCA